UACGGGGGGAGCGAACGUUGUUCGGAAUCACUGGGCGUAAAGGGCGCGUAGGCGGCUUCGUAAGUGAGAUGUGAAAGCCCCUGGCUCAACCAGGGAAAUGCGUCUCAUACUGCGGGGCUUGAGUACAGGAGAGGAUGGGGGAAUUCCCGGUGUAGCGGUGAAAUGCAUUGAUAUCGGGAGGAACACCAGUGGCGAAGGCGCCCAUCUGGCCUGUUACUGACGCUGAGGCGCGAAAGCCGGGGGAGCAAACAGG
rnacentral:rRNA from 1 species